CUUGAUCAGAAGUGAGAAUGUUGACAUGAGUAGCGACAAACAGGGUGAGAGACCCUGUCGCCGAAAGUCCAAGGGUUCCUGCUUAAAGCUAAUCUGAGCAGGGUAAGCCGGCCCCUAAGGCGAGGCAGAAAUGCGUAGUCGAUGGGAACCACGUUAAUAUUCGUGGGCCAGAAGGAAGUGACGGAUCUCGAAGAUUGUUCGCCCUUAUCGGAUUGGGCGGGCCGUUUAGAGGUUCCUGGAAAUAGCCCUUCAUCAGACCGUACCCUAAACCGACACAGGUGGACUGGUAGAGAAUACCAAGGCGCUUGAGAGAACCACAUCAAAGGAACUCGGCAAAAUGCCUCCGUAAGUUCGCGAGAAGGAGGCCCCAUCUUUAGGCAACUAGAGGUGGGGGGCACAGACUAGGGGGUGGCGACUGUUUACUUAAAACACAGGGCUGUGCGAAGUCGCAAGACGACGUAUACAGUCUGACGCCUGCCCGGUGCUGGAAGGUUAAGAGGAGAGGUGCAAGCUUUGAAUUGAAGCCCCAGUAAACGGCGGCCGUAACGAUAACGGUCCUAAGGUAGCGAAAUUCCUUGUCGGGUAAGUUCCGACCUGCACGAAUGGCGUAACGAUCUCCCCGCUGUCUCUGAUGUGGACUCAGCGAAAUUGAACUGUGUGUCAAGAUGCACACUACCCGCGGUUAGACGGAAAGACCCCAUGCACCUUUACUAUAGCUUCGCACUGGCAUCAGGAUUGAGAUGUGCAGGAUAGGUGGUAGGCUUUGAAGCGGGAACGCCAGUUUCCGUGGAGCCUCCCUUGAGAUACCACCCUUCGCACUCUUAAUGUCUAACCGCGGUCCGUUAUCCGGAUCCGGGACCCUGCGUGGUGGGUAGUUUGACUGGGGCGGUCGCCUCCUAAAGAGUAACGGAGGCGCGCGAAGGUUGGCUCAGAGCGGUCGGAAAUCGCUCGUUGAGUGCAAUGGCAGAAGCCAGCCUGACUGCAAGUCUGACAAGACGAGCAGAGACGAAAGUCGGCCAUAGUGAUCCGGUGGUCCCAAGUGGGAGGGCCAUCGCUCAACGGAUAAAAGGUACACUGGGGAUAACAGGCUGAUGAUGCCCAAGAGUCCAUAUCGACGGCAUCGUUUGGCACCUCGAUGUCGGCUCAUCUCAUCCUGGGGCUGGAGCAGGUCCCAAGGGUAUGGCUGUUCGCCAUUUAAAGAGGUACGUGAGCUGGGUUUAGAACGUCGUGAGACAGUUCGGUCCCUAUCUGCCGUGGGUGUAGGAGAUUUGAGAAGAGUUGCCCCUAGUACGAGAGGACCGGGGUGAACGAACCACUGGUGGACCAGUUAUCGUGCCAACGGUAGUGCUGGGUAGCUAUGUUCGGACAGGAUAACCGCUGAAGGCAUCUAAGCGGGAAGCCCCCUUCAAAACAAGAUCUCCCUUGAGAGCCGUGGAAGACCACCACGUCGAUAGGCCAGAGAUGUAAGUGCGGUAACGCAUUCAGUUGACUGGUACUAAUUG
rnacentral:rRNA from 1 species